GAUGAACGCUGGCGGCGUGCCUAAUACAUGCAAGUCGAGCGAAUGGAUUAAGAGCUUGCUCUUAUGAAGUUAGCGGCGGACGGGUGAGUAACACGUGGGUAACCUGCCCAUAAGACUGGGAUAACUCGGGGAAACCGGGGCUAAUACCGGAUAACAUUUUGAACCGCAUGGUUCGAAAUUGAAAGGCGGCUGCGGCUGUCACUUAUGGAUGGACCCGCGUCGCAUUAGCUAGUUGGUGAGGUAACGGCUCAACAAGGCAACGAUGCGAAGCCGACCUGAGAGGGUGGUCGGCCACACUGGGACUGAGACACGGCCCAGACUCCUACGGGAGGCAGCAGUAGGGAAUCUUCCGCAAUGGACGAAAGUCUGACGGAGCAACGCCGCGUGAGUGAUGAAGGCUUUCGGGUCGUAAAACUCUGUUGUUAGGGAAGAACAAGUGCUAGUUGAAUAAGCUGGCACCUUGACGGUACCUAACCAGAAAGCCACGGCUAACUACGUGCCAGCCGCCGCAGUAA
rnacentral:rRNA from 1 species